rnacentral:tRNA from 3 species
GCCGGGAUGCUGUAAUGGUAGCCAGGCUACCUUGAGGUGGUAGUGUCUGAAAAGACGUGGAGGUUCAAGUCCUCUUCCCGGCA